rnacentral:rRNA from 1 species
CGCCGUCGUCCGACGCCCGCCGCUACGAACGUAACUAAAGGAAUUGACGGGGGCCCGCACAAGCAGCGGAGCGUGUGGUUUAAUUCGAUGAUACGCGAAGAACCUUACCUGGUCUUGACAUGCACGUGGUACUGAUUCGAAAGAUGAGGGACCCUUCGGGGAGCGUGCACAGGUGUUGCACGGCCGUCGUCAGCUCGUGCCGUGAGGUGUUGGGUUAAGUCUCGCAACGAGCGCAACCCCCGUCGCCAGUUGUAUUUUUCUGGCGAGACUGCCGGGAAAUCCCCGGAGGAAGGAGGGGAUGAUGUCAGGUCAGCGUGGCCCUUACGACCAGGGCUACACACACGCUACAAUGGGUGGUACAGAGGGUCGCGAAGCCGCGAGGUGGAGCUAAUCCCACAAAGCCAUCCUCAGUUCGGAUUGCAGGCUGAAACUCGCCUGCAUGAAGCCGGAGUUGCUAGUAACCGCAGGUCAGCACUACUGCGGUGAAUACGUUCCCGGGCCUU